rnacentral:rRNA from 1 species
ACGAACGCUGGCGGCCUGCCUAACCCCUGCCAGUCGCACGAGACCUUCGGGUCUAGUGGCGCACGGGUGCGUCACGCGUGGGAAUCUGCCCUUGGGUUCGGAAUAACAGUGAGAAAUUACUGCUAAUACCGGAUGAUGUCUUCGGACCAAAGAUUUAUCGCCCAGGGAUGAGCCCGCGUAGGAUUAGCUAGUUGGUGGGGUAAUUGCCUACCAAGGCGACGAUCCUUAGCUGGUCUGAGAGGAUGAUCAGCCACACUGGGACUGAGACACGGCCCAGACUCCUACGGGAGGCAGCAGUGGGGAAUAUUGGACAAUGGGCGCAAGCCUGAUCCAGCAAUGCCGCGUGAGUGAUGAAGGCCUUAGGGUUGUAAAGCUCUUUUACCCGGGAUGAUAAUGACAGUACCGGGAGAAUAAGCUCCGGCUAACUCCGUG